rnacentral:rRNA from 1 species
AGUUGUAGAAUCACUGGUGAAUAAGGGGUGGGCAAGUUCUGGUGUCAGCCGCCGCGGUAAAACCAGCACCUCGAGUGGUCAGGAGGUUUAUUAGGCCUAAAGCAUCCGUAGCCGGUUGCAUAAGUUUUCGGUUAAAUCUAUGCGCUUAACGUAUAGGCCGCCGAAAAUACUGUGCAGCUAGGGAGUGGGAGAGGUACACGGUACUCGAUAGGAAGGGGUAAAAUCCUUUGAUCUAUUGAUGACCACCUGUGGCGAAGGCGGUGUACCAGAACACGUUCGACGGUGAGGGAUGAAAGCUGGGGGAGCAAACCGGAUUAGAUACCCGGGUAGUCCCAGCUGUAAACGAUGCAGACUCGGUGAUGCAUUGGCUUGUGGCCAAUGCAGUGCCGCAGGGAAGCCGUUAAGUCUGCCGCCUGGGAAGUACGUACGCAAGUAUGAAACUUAAAGGAAUUGGCGGGGGAGCACCACAAGGGGUGAAGCCUGCGGUUCAAUUGGAGUCAACGCCAGAAAUCUUACCUGGGGAGACAGCAGAAUGAAGGUCAAGCUGAAGACUUUACCAGACACGCUGAGAGGUGGUGCAUGGCCGUCGCCAGCUCGUGCCGUGAGAUGUCCUGUUAAGUCAGGUAACGAGCGAGACCCCUGCGUCUAGUUGCUACCAUUACUCUCUGGAGCAGUGGAGCGAAUUAGACGGACCGCCACAGUUAAUGUGGAGGAAGGAAGGGGCCACGGCAGGUCAGUAUGCCCCGAAACCCUAGGGCUACACGCGGGCUGCAAUGGUAUUGACAUGUGUUCCGAAUCCGAAAGGAGGAGGCAAUCAUCAAACAUAUCUCAGUUAUGACUGAGGGC